AGCGAACGCUGGCGGCAGGCCUAACACAUGCAAGUCGAACGAACUCUUCGGAAUUAGUGGCGGACGGGUGAGUAACACGUGGGAACGUGCCCUUUGGUACGGAAUAACUCAGGGAAACUUGAGCUAAUACCGUAUGUGCCCUUCGGGGGAAAGAUUUAUCGCCAUUGGAGCGGCCCGCGUCGGAUUAGCUAGUUGGUGAGGUAAAGGCUCACCAAGGCGACGAUCAGUAGCUGGUCUGAGAGGAUGAUCAGACACAUUGGGACUGAGACACGGCCCAAACUCCUACGGGAGGCAGCAGUGGGGAAUCUUGCGCAAUGGGCGAAAGCCUGACGCAGCCAUGCCGCGUGAAUGAUGAAGGUCUUAGGAUUGUAAAAUUCUUUCACCGGGGACGAUAAUGACGGUACCCGGAGAAGAAGCCCCGGCUAACUUCGUGCCAGCAGCCGCCGUAA
rnacentral:rRNA from 1 species